ensembl:snRNA U6 U6 spliceosomal RNA
GCGCUUGCUUUGGCAGCACAUAUACUAAAAUUGGAACGAUACAGAGAUUAGCAUGGCCCCUGUGCAAGGAUGACACCCAAUUUCAUGAAGGGUUCCAUAUUAAA